rnacentral:rRNA from 1 species
GGGGACCCGCACAAGCGGUGGAUGAUGUGGAUUAAUUCGAUGCAACGCGAAGAACCUUACCUGGGCUUGACAUCCCGGGAAUCCCUUGGAAACAAGGGAGUGCCCUUCGGGGAACCUGGAGACAGGUGCUGCAUGGCUGUCGUCAGCUCGUGUCGUGAGAUGUAGGGUUAAGUCCCGCAACGAGCGCAACCCUUGUCUUUAAUUGCCAUCAUUGAGUUGGGCACUUUAAAGAGACUGCCGGUGUUAAACCGGAGGAAGGUGGGGAUGACGUCAAGUCCUCAUGGCCCUUAUGGGUAGGGCUUCACACGUCAUACAAUGGUCGGUACAGAGGGUUGCCAAGCCGCGAGGCGGAGCCAAUCCCACAAAGCCGAUCGUAGUCCGGAUUGUUCUCUGCAACUCGAGAGCAUGAAGUCGGAAUCGCUAGUAAUCGCAGGUCAGCAUACUGCGGUGAAUACGUUCCCGGGUCUU